AGAGAGAAAAGACUGCGAGGUGGCCGCAGCUGUGGCCGGAGAGGUGGGAGUCGGAGCGAGGCCCUCUCGGGGGAGCAGGGUGAACGCCGGCCACUCUAGGAUCCUCACUCGGGGAGAGGAGGCAUAGCUGGCGGUGUCACCUCCAGUCGCAACGUACUCCGGGUCGGCCUUGCGCUCGGGGCCUGAGAGGGGCGGCGGCGGGGUCAGGGGCCGCACAAAGAAUGAACCAGCAGUGGAAGAGAAAAUACUGUAAGCUGGCUGACUGCUGGUGAAGAAAAUGCUUUAUUUUUGUGGCAGGCAUCUGUGGGAUCUGUAAUAGAAAUAAAAUUGCCAUCUUUUUGAGCCUUGUCUAUUGAGGAACCAAGAACACAGAAAAGGCAGUAAAAAGAAAAAAAAGGAUUGUUUUAAGAUUGAAUGUGCUGUGAUGAUAGCCUAGGAUUAUUGUUUUUCAAUUUUUGAUGAGCGGGAUCUUCAAUAUUCAUGUUAUUUUCUCCUUUGGUCUUAUAUGAUUG
rnacentral:sRNA from 1 species